rnacentral:rRNA from 1 species
GUCCACGCUGUAAACGAUGGAUGCUAGAUGUUGGUCAGAUUGCUGAUCAGUGUCGGCGCUUACGCAAUAAGCAUCCCGCCUGGGGAGUACGAUCGCAAGAUUAAAAACUCAAAGGAAUUGACGGGGACCCGCACAAGCGGUGGAGUAUGUGGUUUAAUUCGAAACUACGCGAAGAACCUUACCAGCUCUUGACAUGGUGGUCAUACCCUUCGUAAUGGAAGGGGUCGGUUCGGCCGGACCACACACAGGUGCUGCAUGGCUGUCGU